rnacentral:rRNA from 1 species
GACGAACGCUGGCGGCGUGCUUAACACAUGCAAGUCGAACGGAAAGGCCCUGCUUUUGUGGGUUGCUCGAGUGGCGAACGGGUGAGUAACACGUGAGUAACCUGCCCUUGACUUUGGGAUAACUUCAUGAAACUGGUGCUAAUACCGGAUAGGAGCUCCUGCUGCCUGGUGGGGGUUUGAAAGUUUCGGCGGUUGGGGAUGGACUCGCGGCUUAUCAGCUUGUUGGUGGGGUAGUGGCUUACCAAGGCUUUGACGGGUAGCCGGCCUGAGAGGGUGACCGGCCACAUUGGGACUGAGAUACGGCACAGACUCCUACGGGAGGCAGCAGUGGGGAAUAGUGCACAAUGGGCGGAAGCCGGAUGCAGCAACGCCGCGUGCGGGAUGACGGCCUUCGGGUUGUAAACCGCUUUCGCCUGUGACGAAGAGUGAGUGAAGGUAAUGGGUAAAGAAGCACCGGCUAACUACGUG